rnacentral:rRNA from 1 species
GUCUUUUUGAUUUUAAUUUAAAGUCUGGCCUGCCCAAUGAGUAGUUUAAUGGCCGCAGUAUUUUGACUGUGCAAAGGUAGCAUAAUCAUUAGUUUCUUAAUUAGGAACUGGAAUGAAAGGUUAAACGAGAAAAUAACUGUCUCUUAAUGAAUUAUUUAGAAUUUUAUUUUUUAGUUAAAAAGCUAAAAUAAAUUUAAAAGACGAGAAGACCCUAUAGAGUUUAAUAAUUUUAUUUUAUAAAUAAUUAUUUAGUUUAUAAAAGUUAAUUUUUAUAUUUAAUAUUAUUUUAUUGGGGUGAUAAAAAAAUUUAUAAAACUUUUUUUUUAUAAAAACAUUAAUAUAUGAAUUUUUGAUCCAUUAAUUAUGAUUAUAAGAUUAAGUUACCUUAGGGAUAACAGCGUAAUUUUUUUUAAGAGUUCAAAUCGAUAAAAGAGUUUGCGACCUCGAUGUUGGAUUAAAAUUAAAUUUUGGUGUAGAAGCUAAAAUAUUUAGGUCUGUUCGACCUUUAAAAUUUUACAUGAUCUGAGUUUAAACCGGUGUAAGCCAGGUUGGUUUCUAUCUUUAAAUAUAAAGAUUUUUUAGUACGAAAGGACCAAAAAUCUAUAAUAUUUAU